UGGGCAACCUACCCUUGACUCUGGGAUAACUCCGGGAAACCGGAGCUAAUACCGGAUAUGAACACGAAGGACAUCCUUUGUGUUGGAAAGUUUUUCGGUCAGGGAUGGGCCCGCGGCCUAUCAGCUUGUUGGUGGGGUAAUGGCCCACCAAGGCGACGACGGGUAGCCGGCCUGAGAGGGCGACCGGCCACACUGGGACUGAGACACGGCCCAGACUCCUACGGGAGCA
rnacentral:rRNA from 1 species